CUCUCUCUCUCUUUCCUGCUCCGCCGCGGUGAGACGUACUUGCUUCUCCUCACCUUCUACCGUGAUUCUGGACUAGACAGAAGACUACAGUUCAAUAAGAAGGAAACACAUUCAUUUUCAGUAUUGUUAAUAAAGAAGCUUACCUAAAAGAAGGAAAUCAAAACAAGAUAAUCUACACUGCAACUAGGGGAGGCUAUUGAAUGUGAUGGUCCCCUCAGAUGCCUAGAGGAAGAUGAACAAUGGUAAUCAGAUAUCCUAAAGUUAUCUUUAGGGCACUGGCAAAAUAGCAGCAAUGCCUGGUGGAAGCUGACUUUGUGCAUACACAUGAGAGCCCACAGAAAACUUCAAACUUCAUGGAAAUAAAACCUUCAGCUGCAGCUAAGAAUUUGGAGGUUACUGAAGGAGGUUACUUUUUCAAGAGCAGAAGUAAGGAUUCCACUGAAUUUGCUCACCAAAGAUAAGUCAGCAAAGAAAACUUACUGAAGAAUACAGGAACAUAAAUCUUAAGCAGGCUUACAUAAGGAAGGGAAGUGGUUGAAUCUGAGACAGCAUAUCAGCUCCUGCUUUCCAGACAAACUUCCUGGGUCUUGGGAAGAAGAAAGCCUCAGACUAAGAACUCUCUCUGGACUCAGACAGCCUGAAUUCAAAUCCCAUCUCUAUUCUUACUAGUCAUAUGAACACAGGAGAACCAUAUCCAUUCAGCUCACUUUGGACCACCUGUGGAGCCUGAUAACCAGGGAACAGAGAACCUGUUGAGAUCCAAAUUUGUGUGCCAGAUCACAAACUCAUCUGAAGCAGAUGCCACGUGUUACACUGUUAUGUCUCUCAGAGACUCCAGCACUUUGAAAGUAUUAGGCCUUGCUUAUUGAGAUGAAUAUUUUUUUCUAGGCAUGUCCCAAAGUUCUCAGCAUAGCUACAACCCUGAUUUUCACAGGAUUUUCAUUAAAAUUAGGUUCUAGAGCAU
rnacentral:lncRNA from 1 species